rnacentral:rRNA from 1 species
AAUUUUCCGCAAUGAGCGCAAGCCUGACUGAGUGACACUAAAUGCGAGAAGAUGUCGAAAUGUUUUAAAACCAUUUUUUCAUAGAUUAAUAUGCCUAAGUGUUAAUGCUUGGGUGAUGACGUUAUAUGAGGAAUAAGCACCGGCCGAUUACGUGGCAGCAGCGGCGGAGACACUUAAGAUCGGAAUUUGUUCGGAAUAAUUAGGCGGAAAGGGGUGUUAGGAGGCGUACCAAGUCGUUCGUGAAAGUCCAGGGUUCAACCGUCAUAUACGAGGGAAAAUGGCAAUCUGGAAUCUUGGGGGGGAUUCGGAUUUCUUAGGGUAGAACCAAAUAUGUAAAUAUGAGAAGAGCUCCGGAGGGGAAGUUGAUUACCCAUUAAUAGAGUUGAGCGACUAAAGGGUGGUGAACGAACAGGAUUAGAUACACUAGUAGUCCCCGCCCUC